rnacentral:rRNA from 1 species
CAUGCAAGUCGAACGAGGAUAUAUCCUUCGGGAUAUAAGCCGAGUGGCGCAAGGGUGAGUAAUGCAUAGAUUACCUGCCUCUAGGAUAAGGACAACUUUGUGAAAACGAAGCUAAUACUUAAUAAUACAAAAGAAAAUAAUUUUCUUUUGUCAAUGGGAGGGUAGCAAUACCUUUUGCCUAGAGAGGGGUUUAUGUCCUAUCAGCUUGUUGGUGGGGUAAUGGCCUACCAAGGCGAAGACGGGUAGCCGGUCUUAGAGGAUGGUCGGCCACACUGGGACUGAGACACUGCCCAGACUUCUACGGAAGGCUGCAGUCGAGAAUCUUUCGCAAUGCCCGAAAGGGUGACGAAGCGACGCCGCGUGAGUGAGGAAGGCCUUAGGGUUGUAAAGCUCUGUCAGGAGUUAAGAAAUAUAAGUGUGUUAAUACCACGUUUAUUUGACGAAGGCUCCAAAGGAAGCCACGGCUAACUCUGUGCCAGCAGCCGCGGUAAUACAGAGGUGGCAAGCGUUGUUCGGAAUUAUUGGGCGUAAAGAGCACGUAGGUGGGUUUGUAAGUCAGAUGUGAAAGCCUUCUGUUCAACGGAAGAAUUGCAUCUGAAACUGCAAGUCUUGAGUGUAGGAGGGGAGAAUGGAACUUCUGGUGGAGCGGUGAAAUGCGUAGAUAUCAGAAGGAACGCCGGCGGCGAAAGCGAUUCUCUGGCCUAUUACUGACGCUCAGUGUGCGAAAGCUAGGGGAGCAAACGGGAUUAGAUACCCCGGUAGUCCUAGCCGUAAACGAUGGGCACUAAGUAGAGGGAAUUACCGAUGUUCUCUCUGCCGUAGCUAACGCAUUAAGUGCCCCGCCUGGGGAGUACGGCCGCAAGGCUAAAACUCAAAAGAAUUGACGGGGGCUCGCACAAGCGGUGGAGCAUGUGGCUUAAUUCGAUGCAACGCGAAAAACCUUACCGGGGCUUGACAUGGUAGAAGUAGGAACCCGAAAGGGUAACGAACGGUAUCCAGUCCAUAGCUAUCACAGGUGUUGCAUGGCUGUCGUCAGCUCGUGUCGUGAGACGUUGGGUUAAGUCCCCUAACGAGCGAAACCCUUGUUUUUAGUUACCAGCGGGUUAUGCCGGGUACUCUAGAAAGACUGCCGUCGUCAAGACGGAGGAAGGUGGGGAUGACGUCAAGUCAUCAUGGCCCUUAUGCCCCGGGCUGCACACGUGCUACAAUGGUCGGUACAAACGGAAGCGAAGCCGAGAGGUGAAGCGAAUCCUAAAAAGCCGAUCUCAGUUCGGAUUGGAGGCUGAAAUUCGCCUCCAUGAAGUUGGAAUCGCUAGUAAUCGCGGAUCAGCAAUGCCGCGGUGAAUAUGUUCCCGAGCCUUGUACACACCGCCCGUCAAGCCACCCAAGCAGGAUGCACCCGAAAACAUUAUAUCUAACCAGGGCAACUUGGAGGAAAGUGUUGAAGGAGUGUUUUGUGAGGAGGACUAAGUCGUAACAAGGUAGUCGUAGGAGAACCUGCGGCUGGAUCACCUCCUUUCU